rnacentral:rRNA from 1 species
UACGGAGGAUGCGAGCGUUAUCCGGCUUCAUUGGGUUUAAAGGGUGCGCAGGCGGGCCUUUAAGCCGGCGGUGAAAUCGCGGGGCUCAACCCCGCCGAGCCGUCGGAACUGGGGGCCUUGAGUGCGGCGGAGGCAUGCGGAAUGCGUGGUGUAGCGGUGAAAUGCAUAGAUAUCACGCAGAACCCCGAUUGCGAAGGCAGCAUACCGGUGCACAACUGACGCUCAGGCACGAAAGCGUGGGUAUCGAACAGG